GACGAACGCUGGCGGCGUGCUUAACACAUGCCAGUCGAACGGGCCUUGUCCCCUUUUUUUUUGGGGGUGGGGUUAGUGGCGAACGGGUGAGUAACACGUGAGUAACCUGCCCCUCACUUCUGGAUAACCGCUUGAAAGGGUGGCUAAUACGGGGUGUUCUGGCCUGCUCGCAUGGGUGGGUUUGGAAAGAUUCGACCGGUUUUGGUUGUUUUGGUGGGGGAUGGGCUCGCGGCCUAUCAGCUUGUUGGUGGGGGGAUGGCCUGCCAAGGCUUUGACGGGUAGCCGGCCUGAGAGGGUGCGCGGUCACACUGGGACUGAGACACGGCCCAGACUCCUACGGGAGGCAGCAGUGGGGAAUAUUGCACAAUGGGCGAAAGCCUGAUGCAGCGACGCCGCGUGAGGGAUGGAGGCCUUCGGGUUGUGAACCUCUUUCGCCAGUGAAGAAGGUCCUGCUCUUUGUGGUGGGGUUGACGGUAGCUGGGUUAAUGAAGCGCCGGCUAACUACGUG
rnacentral:rRNA from 1 species